CCUCUCCCGGGAAUGCGCUCGCCGUCCCGGCCCCUUCCCCGCUAGACAGCCGGGGGUGGCUGGUGCGGCACCUCCCGCCACGGCAACGGGGCCUGCCGCUCCUGGAAGGGCUUUCCCUUGGGAAGCUCCACGGCUCCGUGCGCUUCCCACUAAAAAGCCCACACAGGAGGUAGCUACCCGCUGCCGUCCCGGCUUUGCAGGAAAAAGAAGCUGAAAACUACAUAUGCAGGGUGGUACCAUUCCUUUUCUGUCUGUGACCAAGGAUGUAAGCUGAUGAUCUCCAUGCUAUUCUGCUGUGGCUCUGUCACUCCUGACCUGACCUUCAGGAUACACUGAGAGUAUUCUGAGUCCUUCCACAGUGUCUCACACUAGCACUACAGGACUUUACCUACCUCAGAGAUGGAGUCACCAGAACUGCAGGGGACUGCAACAGCUAUGGGAAGAGUCUUGGAAUGAAUAAUGUUAAACCACAUACUUACAUUGGUCAUGUCAUUUGGGCUCAAAGAUGAAAGAAAAUGCGCAAAUAAUACCUUGAUUAAGAUAUGUACCAACAUCAGGCUGGUAAAAAAUAAAAUAAAAGUCUUGCAAAAAAAGAUGUUAUCAUUUUUAUUAAUCAGCACUUUUCUAUCAGCACCGGAAAUUUACUGUUUCUCAGUUUAAAAAUAAACAGAAUUACUUUGAUUGUAGAAUUUCUUUU
rnacentral:lncRNA from 1 species